rfam:Rattus norvegicus chromosome 5, whole genome shotgun sequence.
GGGGAUUUGGCUCAGUGGUAGAGCGCUUGCCUAGCAAGCAUAAGGCCCUGGGUUCGGUCCCCAGCUCCG